rnacentral:rRNA from 1 species
UUAGGAGAAGAGUUGACAAAUCCGCUCUUUAAUCUGAAGACGUGAUGUGGACUGAAAAUAAGUAGGGAAGCACGUGAGCUGACUGUCAAGAAAAGCCGCUAUUGUUUGCAGGAUACCCGUACCGUAAACCGACACAGGUGGAUGAGGAGAGAAUCCUAAGGCCGACGGGAGAAGCAUUGUUAAGGAACUCGGCAAAAUGACUCCGUAACUUCGGGAGAAGGAGUGCCAGUAAGAUGGCCGCAGAGAAUUGGCCCAAGCAACUGUUUAGCAAAAACACAGGUCUAUGCAAAACCGAAAGGUGAGGUAUAUGGGCUGACGCCUGCCCGGUGCUGGAAGGUUAAGGGGAGAGGUUAGCGCAAGCGAAGCUUUGAACUUAAGCCCCAGUAAACGGCGGCCGUAACGAUAACGGUCCUAAGGUAGCGAAAUUCCUUGUCGGGUAAGUUCCGACCCGCACGAAAGGCGUAAUGAUUUGGGCACUGUCUCAACAAUGCACCCGGUGAAAUUGAAAUACCAGUGAAGAUGCUGGUUACCUGCGCCAGGACGGAAAGACCCCAUGAGCUUUACUCCAGCUUGAUACUGGGAUUCGGUAUUGCAUGUACAGGAUAGGUGGGAGGCUAGGAAAUGGUAACGCCAGUUGCCAUGGAGCCAAUGUUGGGAUACCACCCUUGCAGUACUGGGUUUCUAACCAGCAGCCGUGAUCCGGCUGGGGGACAAUGUCAGGUGGGGAGUUUGACUGGGGCGGUCGCCUCCGAAAGGGUAUCGGAGGCGCUCAAAGGUUCCCUCAGAAUGGUUGGAAACCAUUCGAAGAGUGCAAAGGCAGAAGGGAGCUUGACUGCGACACCGACGGGUGGAGCAGGUACGAAAGUAGGACUUAGUGAUCCGGUGGUAUAAAGUGGGAUUGCCAUCGCUCAACGGAUAAAAGCUACCCUGGGAUAACAGGCUUAUCACUCCCAAGAGUUCACAUCGACGGAGUGGUUUGGCUCCUCGAUGUCGGCUCAUCGCAUCCUGGGGCUGAAGUAGGUCCCAAGGGUUGGGCUGUUCGCCCAUUAAAGCGGUACGCGAGCUGGGUUCAGAACGUCGUGAGACAGUUCGGUCCCUAUCCGGCGUGGGCGUAAGAUAUUUGAGAGGAGCUGUCCUUAGUACGAGAGGACCGGGAUGGACUGGCCGCUGGUGUAUCUGUUGUCUUACCAAAGGCAUAGCAGAGUAGCCAAGCCGGGAAGGGAUAAACGCUGAAGGCAUCUGAGCGUGAAGCCCCCCUCAAGAUGAGAUAUCUCAUAACGUCAAGUUAGUAAGACCCCUUGAAGACGACGAGGUAGAUAGGGCAGAGGUGGAAGUGUGGUAACACAUGGAGCUGACUGUUACUAAUAGGUCGAGGGCAUAACC